GACGAACGCUGGCGGCGUGCCUAACACAUGCAAGUCGAGCGGAGAUAUAUGGAAGGUUUACCGGAAAUAUAUCUUAGCGGCGGACGGGUGAGUAACGCGUGGGCAACCUGCCUCAUACAGGGGGAUAACACAGGGAAACUUGUGCUAAUACCGCAUGAAAUCAUAGUAUGGCAUCAUACAAUGAUCAAAGGAGCAAUCCGGUAUGAGAUGGGCCCGCGUCCGAUUAGCUAGUUGGUGAGGUAACGGCUCACCAAGGCGACGAUCGGUAGCCGAACUGAGAGGUUGAUCGGCCACAUUGGGACUGAGACACGGCCCAGACUCCUACGGGAGGCAGCAGUGGGGAAUAUUGCGCAAUGGGGGAAACCCUGACGCAGCAACGCCGCGUGAAGGAGAAGGCCUUCGGUUGUAACUUCUUUGAUAGGGACGGAUAAUGACGGUACCCUAAAACGAAGACCACGGCUAACUACGUGCCAGCAGCCGCGGUAAUCUAUACUCGUA
rnacentral:rRNA from 1 species